rnacentral:rRNA from 1 species
UGCAGUCGAGCGAGCUGAAUUCAAAGAUUCCUUCGGGGUGAUUUGUUGGACGCUAGCGGCGGAUGGGUGAGUAACACGUGGGCAAUCUGCCCUAAAGACUGGGAUACCACUUGGAAACAGGUGCUAAUACCGGAUAACAACAUGAAUCGCAUGAUUCAAGUUUGAAAGGCGGCGUAAGCUGUCACUUUAGGAUGAGCCCGCGGCGCAUUAGCUAGUUGGUGGGGUAAAGGCCUACCAAGGCAAUGAUGCGUAGCCGAGUUGAGAGACUGAUCGGCCACAUUGGGACUGAGACACGGCCCAAACUCCUACGGGAGGCAGCAGUAGGGAAUCUUCCACAAUGGACGCAAGUCUGAUGGAGCAACGCCGCGUGAGUGAAGAAGGUUUUCGGAUCGUAAAGCUCUGUUGUUGGUGAAGAAGGAUAGAGGCAGUAACUGGUCUUUAUUUGACGGUAAUCAACCAGAAAGUCACGGCUAACUACGUGCCAGCAGCCGCGGUAAUACGUAGGUGGCAAGCGUUGUCCGGAUUUAUUGGGCGUAAAGCGAGCGCAGGCGGAAUGAUAAGUCUGAUGUGAAAGCCCACGGCUCAACCGUGGAACUGCAUCGGAAACUGUCAUUCUUGAGUGCAGAAGAGGAGAGUGGAAUUCCAUGUGUAGCGGUGGAAUGCGUAGAUAUAUGGAAGAACACCAGUGGCGAAGGCGGCUCUCUGGUCUGCAACUGACGCUGAGGCUCGAAAGCAUGGGUAGCGAACAGGAUUAGAUACCCUGGUAGUC